UCCUGUUUUGAGGUGUUUGUGGACCACUGGCCACAGAGGCAGUUUUGGCUGCUAACAGUUAACUGGUAAAGAAAACACUUGUGCUACAUAGAAAUCUGUUGUUUCAUGGAACAUCCGAACUUCCGAGAACGUGAAGGGCAGAAAUAUAGGUAUGAACAUCAAAUUUUUUAUGUGUCAUUAAUAACACAUCUGUACUGAAGCAGCAAGAAAUAAUCUCGGAAGAAGGGAGUGUCUAUGAGUGCCUCUCCAAACAAGGUCUAAACCUUUAGGUUAAGAUUUGCUCAAGACAUUUUCUGUUUCCCACAGCUCUUACUAAGACCCAUGGACUAGCGGAAUGGGGCGAAUGUGUGUGGAAGGGAGGAGGAAUGAAGGGCGGCUGGGAGAAGGGAGCGGCAGAGACCUGAUGAGAGUGGGGGGGCUGGUGGUGGUGCUCUCCCUCAUAGUGUCCUCUUCAGGUGCCUCGCCUAAUUCCCCAGGCAUUAGCCUGCCACCAGUGAAUGUGUCCGUGGCAACUGGCAAACGUGCAGAGUUCAGCUGUGGCAUGGCCAAUUCCCUCAAUAAGAUGCUCAAGUUCACUAUGUAUGCUCCCAAGAAAAACCUCAGCAUCACCUGUGUUGGAGAUCAGACUGAAGCGACCGAGGUCAACUUCGACCGCUACUUUGGUGAAUGUAAGGGAGAGCCAAACAACCUGCUGGCCGUGUUGUCCAUCGUUGACGCCAAAUUAUCGGACAACGGCAUUUAUGUCAGAUGCCAGUCCCUUGAAGAAAGCUCUGCUGCAUUCUUAAACGUCGAAGAACCAUCCAACAGCUUCGGUAUCAUCAUUGGCUGCACUAUUGGAGCAUUCAUCACCACUCUACUGGUCUUUGGCGCGCUUUUCCACGUUAUUCGGGGAUCCGAGAAACUACAGCAAUGCUUCAGAGGUCCAGUUGAGGUGGAGGAGGACAUCACCAUGGCCACCGUGGAGUGA
rnacentral:lncRNA from 1 species